rnacentral:lncRNA from 1 species
UACUUGAAAAAUGGAAAUAGGAAGAACAAGUUUUCCCCCCAUACUUAAAUUAAACAUUGUCCCCAAUGUUUUAAGGGAAUGAAAUACACUAUGGAAAGGAAAAAGAAACUACAACUAAGGUUGUCUUCCGCCUCUGGUUCUUGGACCUGGUGAUCUCGGACGUAAGUCUAAGUUGUCGAACCUGCUGAACAACUCAGUAAACCGCUGGUCGGUUAUGGC